rnacentral:rRNA from 1 species
AGUUGGGUCGCUAUCUGCCGGGGGCGCUGGAGAAAGGAGGGGGGCUGCUCCUAGUACGAGAGGACCGGAGUGGACGCAUCACUGGUGUUCGGGUUGUCAUGCCAAUGGCACUGCCCGGUAGCUAAAUGCGGAAGAGAUAAGUGCUGAAAGCAUCUAAGCACGAAACUUGCCCCGAGAUGAGUUCUCCCUGAGACUUUAAGUCUCCUGAAGGAACGUUAAAGACGAUGACGUUGAUAGGCCGGGUGUGUAAGCGCAGCGAUGCGUUGAGCUAACCGGUACUAAUGAACCGUGAGGCUUAACCUUACAACGCCGAAG